AGCUCAAGCUUAAAACCUGUGCCCUUCGGGUACCGGAUUGUAGCCUAUAGAAGGAGCGUCCUGGCGGACGGUGACCUAAAUGCUUAGGAAUAAGCUGCCGAAGAGGGUGAGAGCCCCGUUCAUGGUUGCCGUGCAUACCGUCUUUUGUGAUGCCCUUUCAUCGAGUCAGGUUGCUUGAGAGUGCAGCCUAAAGUGGGUGGUAUACUUCAUCUAAAGCUAAAUAUUGACACGAGACCGAUAGCGAACAAGUACCGUGAGGGAAAGAUGAAAAGAACUUUGAAAAGAGAGUGAAACAGUGCGUGAAACCGUUGAAAGGGAAGCUGAUGGGGCGCAGUGUCUCGUACGGCGAGCAUUUUAGUUCAGAACUGCUGAAAGUGCGGUCCGAUUCAGUGUUAAAGCGGUCGGGUCGUAUUUUGAGGUAGUAAUGGGUGCACUAUGCUUGUCGGGGCCUCUGGAUGCGUUAGAGCUUCAGGAUAAAACUGUGAUUGGGUAGUUUGCUUCGGCACUCGAGAUUUCACAGCGAAACUGUCGCUUUGACGGAGGAAUUAAGGGCUCGGGCAACCGUGCGUUUGGUCUAUUAUUGUGCCUCAUGCGAUUUGCACUUCAGUGAAGUUCAUGUUGUAUGGUGGGUGCUUAGUAGGUUAGAUGUACUUGAGUUCUCUAGAUCCAGAGUAAAUGCUCUCAUCAGACCCGUCUUGAAACACGGACCAAGGAGUCUAACAUGUAUGCGAGUCGUAGGGUGGAAAACCUGAAGGCGUAAUGAAAGUAAAGGCAGGCCCGGUCUGCUGAGGUGGGAUCCUGAGGUCUUCGGACCGAGGGUGCACCAUCAACCGAUCAUGAUCCUCGGUGAUUGAUUUGAGUGAUAGCAUAUCUGUUGGUACCCGAAAGAUGGUGAACUAUGCCUGUAUAGGGUGAAGCCAGUGGAAACACUGGUGGAGGCUCGUAGCGAUACUGACGUGCAAAUCGUUCGUCAAAUAUGGGUAUAGGGGCGAAAGACUAAUCGAACCAUCUAGUAGCUGGUUCCCUCCGAAGUUUCCCUCAGGAUAGCUGGAACUCGUUAUGUGCAGUCUUGUCAGGUAAAGCGAAUGAUUAGAGGAAUUGGGGAUGAAACAUCCUCGACCUAUUCUCAAACUUUAAAUGGGCAAGAAGUCCUUGUUGCUUGAAUUUGAACUUGGACGUUGGAUGCAGAGUUCUUAGUGGGCCAUUUUUGGUAAGCAGAACUGGCGAUGUGGGAUGAACCAAACGCUGAGUUAAGGCGCCUAACUACGCGCUCAUCAGAUACCAUA
rnacentral:rRNA from 1 species